UAACAGACAGGCCCUGGGGAGGGGUCAGGGGAGUGACUCAGCAUAAAUGAACCAAUAGGAUAGAGGGAGGGAUGACUGGCAGAUGGGGGGGGGAGGAGAAAAAGGGGGGCCGGACCAUUUAACAUAAAGAGGGGGAGAGGGAGCAACCAUAAGUGGGGGAAACUUAGAACGCACUCCAACAACCUUGCUCUUGUUUAAUGGAGUUUUGCUAACCCUAGAGAUUAAACAAAUGUAUUUGACAGUGCUAUUUUCAGAUUUUUAUUGGAAACUCAAUGUUGUCUUGUGGACCCCACUCCAGAAAUGCUUGAAGAAGGGAGUGCUUGCUGAUUCACAAGAGUUUUAAGCAACAGCUACGUAUGUGGCAAAAGUAUACUGUACAUAUGACAAAGUGGUACAGAAAAACCAGCCUGCUGCAUGCAGCCUGCCCUUCUCACCUACUGCAGUGAAGGCAGAACAGUCUUAUCAGAUACAAUGUCUUCCAAUCAUCUGAGUAAUGACUUUGCAUGAAGAGGGAUUGCAAAGCUUCUCUGCUGGCACUGAGUGUGUGGGAAAGUGGAAAACUGAAGCAAACCCUAGAUGACCAGCUUGAAGAUGCUGAAGAAGCAAAUCUUUAUGACUGGACAACAUCACAGCAGAAAGCAUAUCAGGACUAUUACGCACAAAAGCAACCACUUUCACUUCAAGCACUCACUCUCACCCCUGUUAUAAAUUGUGGAAGUCUGGUAGAAUAUUUCAGUAAAAUAUUAUCAACUUAUUGCCUGUAUCUUUUAUCAUUCGGUAUUAUCACCCACUGUUCUUCCAGUAUUUAGUAUUUGUCAGUGCUGGAGAAAGAAGCCUGAGAAAGGAAUUUCAGCCUGAUUUAUGUAACUGUCAUAUGCUUCUAAAAAGAAAUAAAUAUGUGU